rnacentral:rRNA from 1 species
GUCCACGCCGUAAACGAUGAGUGCUAGUUGUGGUGGGUAUUGACCCCUGCAGUGACGACGCUAACGCAAUAAGCACUCCGCCUGGGAAGUACGGUCGCAAGAUUAAAACUCAAAGGAAUUGACGGGGGCCCCGCACAAGCGGUGGAGCAUGUGGUUUAAUUCGACGCAACGCGCAGAACCUUACCCAGACUUGACAUGCCGAAGAUCCAGCCGAAAAGUGGGAGUGCCCGCAAGGGAAUUCGGACACAGGUGCUGCAUGGCUGUCGU